rnacentral:rRNA from 1 species
CCUACGGGGUGCAGCAGUGGGGAGUAUUGGACAAUGGGCGAAAGCCUGAUCCAGCCAUGCCGCGUGUGUGAAGAAGGCCUUCGGGUUGUAAAGCACUUUCAGUGGGGAAGAAAGCCUUGGGGCUAAUACCCUCGAGGAAGGACAUCACCCACAGAAGAAGCACCGGCUAACUCCGUGCCAGCAGCCGCGGUAAUACGGAGGGUGCGAGCGUUAAUCGGAAUUACUGGGCGUAAAGCGCGCGUAGGCGGUCUGAUAAGCCGGUUGUGAAAGCCCCGGGCUCAACCUGGGAACGGCAUCCGGAACUGUCAGGCUAGAGUGCAGGAGAGGAAGGUAGAAUUCCCGGUGUAGCGGUGAAAUGCGUAGAGAUCGGGAGGAAUACCAGUGGCGAAGGCGGCCUUCUGGACUGACACUGACGCUGAGGUGCGAAAGCGUGGGUAGCAAACAGGAUUAGAUACCCCUGUAGUC